GCGAAGAACCUUACCUACUCUUGACAUCCAGAGAACUUAGCAGAGAUGCUUUGGUGCCUUCGGGAACUCUGAGACAGGUGCUGCAUGGCUGUCGUCAGCUCGUGUUGUGAAAUGUUGGGUUAAGUCCCGCAACGAGCGCAACCCUUAUCCUUGUUUGCCAGCGAGUAAUGUCGGGAACUCCAGGGAGACUGCCGGUGAUAAACCGGAGGAAGGUGGGGACGACGUCAAGUCAUCAUGGCCCUUACGAGUAGGGCUACACACGUGCUACAAUGGCGCAUACAGAGGGCGGCCAACUUGCGAAAGUGAGCGAAUCCCAAAAAGUGMGUCGUAGUCCGGAUUGGAGUCUGCAACUCGACUCCAUGAAGUCG
rnacentral:rRNA from 1 species